rnacentral:rRNA from 1 species
UACGAAGGGGGCUAGCGUUGCUCGGAAUCACUGGGCGUAAAGCGCACGUAGGCGGAUUGCUAGGUCAGGGGUGAAAUCCUGGAGCUCAACUCCAGAACUGCCUUUGAUACUGGCGAUCUCGAGUCCGGGAGAGGUGAGUGGAACUGCGAGUGUAGAGGUGAAAUUCGCAGAUAUCAGGAGGAACACCUAUUGCGAAGGCAGCUCGCUGGGACGUAACUGACGCUGAGACGCGGAAAGCGUGGGGAGCGAACAGG